CGCAAGUUUUUCUUCCUGUUCCUCUGCUUUCUGCACGUCUACAUCCCAUUGCUGAAAUAAAGUCAGGAACUGCUGGGAGAAAUCAUGAUUGAGCUUCUGCCUAUAAACAGACACUAGCUGGUACAAGUUCUUCAGUCAACAACAGUCUUUUACGAUGUGCAAGAACAAGAGUAAGCACAACAGUGUCUUUUACCACUACUAGCAGCAAUUUUUCAUGACACUGCAGGGCUCUUAGAACUACUGGAGAAUAAUGAUGAACCAAAAAAGUCCCUUCUCACCAGAAGGGGCAUGCAAAGUUAGCACCAAUAAUAAGGCAACAAUUGGGCAGAGUAACUGAAAUCUCUGGAAGAUGAGAAAACAAUGCAAGUGUUCUUCAGAAAAAUAAUAGAUCCUCAGUGAGCACAAGUCUUGACAGCAAUAAAAAUAUUUUCAUAUCUUCAUUGCUUUGAAUGCACGCGGAAAAUAGCCUUCUGUUAGAAGUGUUCCCCCCCACCCAACACACACACAGGUCGUUCUUAGACCAGAAAUAUGUGGAAAAAAUGACACUGAGAUUUAAGAAUCUCUACAUAGCAUACACUGUUUUAAGAAUACAGUCCAUCUUCUAAUCCUCUUCAUUCAUUUCUGGAUAAAAGCCUAAAAAAACCAGCCUUCUCAGGAAAUGAAGUGUGCCCAAAUGCAGACCAUUUCUGGUUUGCAGAAGCUUAUUUGUUCCCACUUCACACUUCCUUUACAGGAACUAUUGUUCAAGGAUAAAAAGCAAGGAAGGAGGCAGCCCUGAACCUCGUAACAGCCACAGGUUUCCCUUCCAUGGCAAGGUCUGGUGAACAGGCAUUUCAACCACAGCUAUAUGUUCUCCUAAAACUAGUGCACCUACAAGGCAGACAUUUGUCUGUGGCCAACUGAAGUUUAAAAAAGAGAGGUAGAAAGGAAACACGUAAGCAAAGUUACCCAGUGUUGGCAUUAAGGAGAUACAAGACAUGAAAAUAGAUCAAAAGAUGGAAAAGAAGUGGAACACAGACUAGAGUUAGAGGGGACACAAAAUCUACUUAGAGUAUGUUUGAGCAAGUGAAAUCUAGGAGCAGAGCAUAUACAGACAGCCUCCUCCACGAAGGGAAAGUGGGGCAGAACUUGGAAAAUUAACCAGUAUCAUAAAGCCUUGCAAAUAAACUUUCCAGCAAGUUCUCUGGUCAGACAUUUAAAUGCAAAUUCAGCUUAAAAUUUAACCUUAAUAUGAAGCAAGGAAUACUUAAAAAGUGGCAAGUGAAAGGAGACAUCAGACCUGUACCACUGUACAAGACACUACCACCGCAUCCACAGAAAUUUUUAACAUGCAAUACUAAUUACCUCAGAUACUGUUAUUCCAGUCAUAUUUCUUAGUUGUUCUACCUAUACCUCUUUACUUACUUGUUUUGUUAUCUGAAUGACAGAUUUAGUCCAAGAAUAAAAGAAGGACUGAAGUUCCCCUGAAAGUGCAAUAUUAUUUGGACUUUGAGGUUCAAAAAUUUUCCUGUCAUGUAGUCAAAUUUGGUACCCAAAGGAAGAUUUUAUUGUACCCUACUAUUUGCCGUCAUUUCCCAUGGAAAUUUACAGCUUGAAGGAAAUAAUUUUUUAAUAUGUAAGAUGAAUCUUUCCCCCCCCGCCAUUGACGAAGGCAAAUUUUGUAGUUACAGGAGAAUUAUAAAUUACAGAAUUAUAACAAGAAACAAGUCAGUUCAUUUUUGUCUAAAUUUAAC